rnacentral:tRNA from 1 species
UCCCUGGUUGUCCAGUGGUUAAGACUUAGCACUUUCACUGCUGGGGGCCAGAUUCAAUCCCUGGUCAGGGAA